rnacentral:rRNA from 1 species
AGCCCUUGACAUGGCAGGACGGUUUCCGGAGACGGAUUCCUUCACUUCGGUGACCUGCACACAGGUGCUGCAUGGCUGUCGUCAGCUCGUGUCGUGAGAUGUUGGGUUAAGUCCCGCAACGAGCGCAACCCUCGCCUUUAGUUGCCAUCAUUUAGUUGGGCACUCUAGAGGGACUGCCGGUGAUAAGCCGGAGGAAGGUGGGGAUGACGUCAAGUCUUCAUGGCCCUUACGGGCUGGGCUACACACGUGCUACAAUGGCGGUGACAGAGGGCAGCUAGUCCGCGAGGACAUGCUAAUCCCUAAAAGCCGUCUCAGUUCGGAUUGCACUCUGCAACUCGAGUGCAUGAAGUUGGAAUCGCUAGUAAUCGUAGAUCAGCACGCUACGGUGAAUACGUUCCCGGGCCUUGUACACACCGCCCGUCACACCAUGGGAGUUGGUUCUACCCGAAGCCGGUGCGCUAACCGCAAGGAAGCAGCCGACCACGGUAGGGUCAGCGACUGGGGUGAAGUCGUAACAAGGUAGCCGUAGGGGAACCUGCGGCUGGAUCACCUCCUUUCUG